rnacentral:rRNA from 2 species
GCGAAGGCGGCUGUCUGGUCUGUAACUGACGCUGAGGCUCGAAAGCAUGGGUAGCAAACAGGAUUAGAUACCCUGGUAGUGCAUGCCGUAAACGAUGAGUGCUAGGUGUUGGAGGGUUUCCGCCCUUCAGUGCCGCAGCUAACGCAUUAAGCACUCCGCCUGGGGAGUACGACCGCAAGGUUGAAACUCAAAGGAAUUGACGGGGGCCCGCACAAGCGGUGGAGCAUGUGGUUUAAUUCGAAGCAACGCGAAGAACCUUACCAGGUCUUGACAUCCUUUGACCACUCUAGAGAUAGAGCUUUCCCUUCGGGGACAAAGUGACAGGUGGUGCAUGGUUGUCGUCAGCUCGUGUCGUGAGAUGUUGGGUUAAGUCCCGCAACGAGCGCAACCCUUAUUACUAGUUGCCAGCAUUUAGUUGGGCACUCUAGUGAGUCUGCCGGUGACAAACCGGAGGAAGGUGGGGACGACGUCAAAUCAUCAUGCCCCUUAUGACCUGGGCUACACACGUGCUACAUUAGGAUGGUACAACGAGUUGCGAGUCCGCGAGGUUUAGCUAAUCUCUUAAAACCAUUCUCAGUUCUUAGGGUAUGCUGCAACUCG